CGUUCAGGAGCCCAAACAAAGUUAGUGUGCUACAAUAUCAGACAGUAGAAACCAACCAGAAAGUUCGGAAAAUUGUCUGAAUCCUCCUUUGGCCACGACUGCCGACACAAGCAAGAAAACAAAGUAAAUACCGGAGACUCUGGAGGAAUAACGGGCGCUUAAAACGGAGGUAGACCGGACAAGAGCUAAAAAGCCGGGUCAACAUAAACCAUGGGGGACGCUUGGGGAUCUUGGUGACCCUGUAACCUUUCUGCUGGACAGGUAAACCGCUU